GCGGGCGGUGGAAGGCGGAAGUAGGAGAGGAGUUCGGCGCCGCUUCUGUGGCCACGGCAGCUUCACGGUGAUGAUAUGGCAUCUGCCAGCUCUAGCCGGGCAGGAGUGGCCCUGCCUUUUGAGAAGUCUCAGCUCACUUUGAAAGGUCCCAGCCUAGUCCAGGCCACCAUUGUCUCCACCCUGAGUUAAGGCAGUAGCCUCCUGUCCUGUCUCUCGGCUUCUGCACUUUGCCCUCCUUCAGUCUGUUGGUCACACAGCAGCCAGUGAUCUUGUUAAAAGGUAAACUGGGGCCAGGUGUGGUGGCUCAUGCCUGUAAUAUCAGCACUUUGGGAGGCCAAGGCAGGAGGAUCACCUGAGCCCAGGAGUUUGAGACCAGCCUGAGCAACAGAGCAAGACCACCGUCUCUAAAA
rnacentral:sRNA from 1 species